rnacentral:tRNA from 2 species
UGGGGAAUAGUUCAGCGGUAGAACGGCGGCUUUUGGGUCCGCAUGUCACAGGUUCGAAUCCUGUUUCCCCAUCCA